CACAAAGGUUUGCACUGUUGCGGAGAGAAUUCAUCUCUUCCCUUCAAUAGAUCCCAUCCACUUAAAAAGGGCAGCAAGGCAAUGAACUAACAGCUUCAACACAGUGUUUUGGAAAUUAACCAGGAAAUCAAAUCAUGUGCCUUCCUCAAGCCUCUUCUAAUCAUCCUACAAAGCAUCCCAGGAAGAAUAUACCAAGCAAAGGAAAAACUAGCAUCAUCUGAACAGUUUGGAUGUGAAGAGAGCAUGCAAGUGCUGACUACAUCCCGGAGGUACCUAACUUCACAACCAAGUGAAGCUCACUUCAGUGUUUGACAAAGUCACUCCAUUGAUUCCAGAGGACACUGGUCUUUACUCCCAGUAAAUACAAGGGAGCAGGCUCUGAGGAAGUGGACUGGCACCAACAAAUCAGCACCAACAAAUCGGCUGCUUUGAAAUUACAGACCAUUUAACCCAGAAAACUUGAAAGACGUAAUC